rnacentral:misc_RNA from 1 species
GUGCCAAAUUUGGGCUUAUAUCAACUGAAUUGAAUAAUUAAUUGCUUUUUUUGACAUUUCUAAUGCCCAGAAAAAAUACUGCUGAUAUUAGAGAUAGAUACGUAUAUAUUUGUGUGUGUUAGCAACUUUUAGGCAUAGGAUGACAAAUUGGUGGUGCUGUGGUUGAUUGAAAUCUAUAGACUUAUGUUGUAGUGAAUUGCGCCAGCUUUGGGGACUGUACAAUUUUGGGCGUCAUCUUGUUGAGGUUAGUAUUUUUGACAUUUUUAUUGCUAUAAGUAAAUUUGUGAUGAGAGAUGCUAUAUUUUAGUUUUUUUCUUUUUCUAUACUUUUGCAGAUAGAAUUUAAUUAGAUUUGUUUUGUUCAUUGCAUGUGCAGUAGGUUAUAUUAAACUUUAAUUAUUAGCCUAAAAGUUUUCCUCACUUAUAUUGAUGUGAUAUAUGCCUAGAAACUUAUAUUUUGUACCUUAAAGAGUUUGUUUAUGAGAUAAAGGUAUCUGAAGUUGAUGAUUUAGAAGUGCUUAUGUUUGUGUAUAAAUGUUGUAGCAGUAGAUGGUAUAAUGAGGAUAUUGAAAGUAUUAUUUUAUACGCAGAAACAUUAUUUUACCUUCAUUAGCAGAUAUCAUAUGUCCUAUUACAGACGACGCUCUGCCAAAAUUUUCUUAAUUAUUAAGUUUGUAUAAUGAAAUUUUUAAAUUUUAUUUUCCUAGUUUCAUUAUUACUU